rnacentral:rRNA from 1 species
ACUCCUACGGGAGGCAGCAGUGGGGAAUAUUGCACAAUGGGCGCAAGCCUGAUGCAGCAACGCCGCGUGAGUGAUGAAGGCCUCGGUCGUAAAGCUCUGUCCUCAAGGAAGAAUAAAUGACGGUACUUGAGGAGGAAGCCCGGGCUAACUACGUGCCAGCAGCCGCGGUAAUACGUAGGGGGCAAGCGUUAUCCGGAAUCACUGGGCGUAAAGGGGUGCGUAGGCGGUUUUCAAGUCAGAAGUGAAAGGCUAUGGCUCAACCAUAGUAAGCUUUUGAAACUGUUAAACUUGAGUGCAGGAGAGGAAAGUGGAAUUCCUAGUGUAGAGGUGAAAUUCGUAGAUAUUAGGAGGAACACCAGUGGCGAAGGCGACUUUCUGGACUGUAACUGACGCUGAGGCACGAAAGCGUGGGGAGCGAACAGGAUUAGAUACCCUGGUAGCACAGAG